GAGCGAAACGGAAACAGCCCAAACCAAGAGGCUUGCCUCUUGGGGUUGUAGGACGUCUCACAUGGAGUAAGAAAAGAAGAGCAUAAGCGAAGCGAUCUGGAAAGGUCCAUCGUAGAGGGUAACAAUCCCGUAGCUGAAAUGCUCUUCUCUCCGAGACGGAUCCUGAGUACGGCGGGACACGUGAAACCCCGUCGGAAUCCGGGAGGACCAUCUCCCAAGGCUAAAUACUCCCUAGUGACCGAUAGUGAACCAGUACCGUGAGGGAAAGGUGAAAAGCACCCCGGGAGGGGAGUGAAAUAGAUCCUGAAACCGUGUGCCUACAACUAGUCAGAGCCCGUUAAUGGGUGAUGGCGUGCCUUUUGUAGAAUGAACCGGCGAGUUACGAUGUCGUGCAAGGUUAAGCUUAAAAAGCGGAGCCGCAGCGAAAGCGAGUCUUAAUAGGGCGCUUUAGUACGCCGUCGUAGACCCGAAACCGUGUGAUCUACCCAUGUCCAGGGUGAAGUUCAGGUAACACUGAAUGGAGGCCCGAACCCACGUAUGUUGAAAAAUGCGGGGAUGAGGUGUGGGUAGGGGUGAAAUGCCAAUCGAACUCGGAAAUAGCUGGUUCUCCCCGAAAUAGCUUUAGGGCUAGCCUCGAGGUGAGAGUUUUGGAGGUAGAGCACUGAUUGAACUAGGGGUCCCCACAGGAUUACCGAAUUCAGUCAAACUUCGAAUGCCAAAAACUUCUACUCGGGAGUCAGACUGCG
rnacentral:rRNA from 1 species